rnacentral:rRNA from 1 species
CGGAGGAUCCAAGCGUUAUCCGGAAUCAUUGGGUUUAAAGGGUCCGUAGGCGGUUUGGUAAGUCAGUGGUGAAAGCCCAUCGCUCAACGGUGGAACGGCCAUUGAUACUGCCAGACUUGAAUUAUUAGGAAGUAACUAGAAUAUGUAGUGUAGCGGUGAAAUGCUUAGAGAUUACAUGGAAUACCAAUUGCGAAGGCAGGUUACUACUAAUGGAUUGACGCUGAUGGACGAAAGCGUGGGUAGCGAACAGGAUUAGAUACCCUGGUAGUCCACGCCGUAAACGAUGGAUACUAGCUGUUGGAAGCAAUUUCAGUGGCUAAGCGAAAGUGAUAAGUAUCCCACCUGGGGAGUACGUUCGCAAGAAUG